CCAGUAUCAAGUAACUAAUUACUCAAAAAAGUUCCAAGCCAUACUGGAGGUGCUACUUUCCCAAUACUCAAGCGAUAAUAUAUGUUAGUGAUUCAAGUGAUACUGAUAGACUAGUGGUUGCCAAGGAAGAAUUCCAUGCAAUAUUGGAGGUGAUAUUUCCAUUUAUGUAUUAUCAGAAGAAAGUUCAUCACCUAUAUAUUUCAAAGGGGAUCUUCUUGUUCCGUUUUACACCAAGGUUAAUGGAAGAUCAAAUAAGCUAAACUUUAUGUUACUGGACAAAUCUUAAGAAUAUAAUGAAAAUAUUUUUUAUUUCAUAUGUCACCAUCACAUAUUCAUGGUAAACAACUUGCUUGUGCUUGGCUUCAACAGGUAUGUUGUCCCGAUUAUGGUACUUUUAGUUGUCAAAGGUUAACAAUAUUCUCAUUAAUUGUGAAGCUUUAAAUUUCAAGAACAUAAUCAGAAUUAGAGUGAUGAUUUUUUAAUAAACACUUUAGUAGUUUUUGUAAAAUAUUGAAUGGCCACUGUUUGCAUAAUUUUGCUGCACAUGAUCCUUUGAAGUUCUCUGAGUGUUCUUACAGUAAGUUCCUACCUAGGUGGCCCUGGAACUUGAACCAGUACUUAACAGUUUGUUUACCUUUAGCUUUGGUUUUUUAUAUUUUAGGCCUUGGCAGUUUUGUUUUCAACUUAAAUAGAAAUGAAAAAUGGUUCUUGUUUCUAGCUGUUUUAAUUUUCCCCACAUCAGUUAAACUGUUUGUUUAAACUCCUGAUGAUAUUUGUUAAUGAUUGACUCUACUUUCCUCUUUCUUAUAUGGAAUUACAUUGGUCUCAUGCUAGGAGGCAGAGCUAAAAGGCGCCGUUGUCCUCUUGUUUGCUAACAAGCAGGAUCUUCCUGGAGCAAUGGAUGAUGCUUCGAUAAUUGAGGCCUUAGAGUUGCACAAAAUUAAGAAUCGGUAAUGGGCUAUCUUCAAAACUUCCGCCAUAAAGGGAGAGGGCCUCUUUGAGGGCCUAGACCGGUGACACACUUUCCCUGGUCAAGGUCUUCGUGACAUUCGCCUCAGUCCUAGACACACCCC